rnacentral:rRNA from 1 species
AUGGGAACGCGAAGAACCUUACCUAGACUUGACAUCUUCUGCAUUAAUCGUAAUGGAUGAAAUCCCUUCGGGGACAGAAUGACAGGUGGUGCAUGGUUGUCGUCAGCUCGUGUCGUGAGAUGUUGGGUUAAGUCCCGCAACGAGCGCAACCCCUAUUAUUAGUUGCUAACAUUAAGUUGAGCACUCUAGUGAGACCGCCCGGGUUAACCGGGAGGAAGGCGGGGAUGACGUCAAAUCAUCAUACCCCUUACUGUCUAGGGCUACACACGUGCUACAAUGGUGAGAACAACAAGAAGCGAAGCCGCGAGGCAGAGCAAAACUGAAAAACUACAUCUCAGUUCGGAUUGCAGGCUGAAACUCGCCUGCAUGAAGUUGGAGUUGCUAGUAAUCGCGAAUCAGAAUGUCGCGGUGAAUACGUUCCCGGGUCUUGUACACACCG